rnacentral:rRNA from 1 species
ACAGGUGCUGCAUGGCUGUCGUCAGCUCGUGUCGUGAGAUGUCGGUUAAGUCCGCUAACGAGCGCAACCCUCGCUGUGUGUUACAAGUGUCACACGGAACUGCCGGUCAUAAACCGGAGGAAGGUGGGGAUGACGUCAAGUCAGCAUGGCCUUUAUAUCCUGGGCUACACACACGCUACAAUGGGAAGGGACAAUAGGUUGCGAAGCCGCGAGGCGGAGCCAAUCCAGCAAAACUUCCCUCAGUUCAGAUUGCAGGCUGCAACUCGCCUGCAUGAAGUUGGAGUUGCUAGUAAACGCAGGUCAGCCAUACUGCGUUGAAUACGUUCCCGGGGCUU